UAAACUGUUUAUGGUAACAUUUUAAUUCUCUUCCUUUUCCGAAGGGCGUACAAUACUAAACAGUUAAGUCGAUGGCUUUGGUUUCUAUGGGCUGGCUGAGCUUAGAUAUCCCAUGUGAUGUCAUAGUUAUUCCCUGUCUCUCAUGGAGUAGUGAACACUCUGUUACUCCCUGACAAUGUCAGUGAGUGAACUCAGCUGUUAGCAGCACAUUGUCAAGCAUCCAACUCACUCAUUUUUCUACACUCCUCGGUUCCAUUGAAAGCAUGGGAAAUGGCAGACAAAAUAGUAUCAUAUAUAUCUCAAGUCAAGAAGAGCAGGCUACUACUUGAAACUGGUUACAACAGAGGUGGUUGAUACAACUGAAACCCUUGUUGAUAAGGGUGGUUGAUAUGAUUAAAACUGUGAUACAGUAGUUGACAAUAGGCAAUUAUAGAACCAUCUAGCUUUGAGUCUGGUAAUUAAAGUCAGGUCUGUAUCUGCCCUCCACAGGUUCAGCAUCUAGUCCUUGCUCUGUGUAACCUAUCGGAUCACAGAGUUGUGUAUGCAACCGACUGGGCGAGUGAGUGAGGAAGAGAGCGCAGACUGAGAGAAAAUCCAACUUAAUUAGCCCAAGCUUAUUAAGAAUUAUAAUAAGCAACUGGUUUGGAGGAGCAGUGCUGUCCACAUCUGGCUCUGAUGAAGGGGCAGGCUACUGGUUUGGCCUCGAUCUCCAACCCCCAUCCACUUUAGGAAACAAUAGAAGCAUUCUGAGUUCUCCCUCUGGAGCCACACACAUACGUGCCGAUGUCGAUGCCACGCCGUCUCCUACAUGAAGGGGGGUCGGGAGGGUACAUCAAAUAACACCACACGCUCAGCUGAAAUCUAACAGCACGUUUAGCCUCCCAAAUAAGACCCACAGAGUACAAAACCGGUCUGACAACCCCUGUUGACUACUAGUUAUGGAGGCCUAUCUUCUCUUUUGCUGUCCUCCUGACUCCAACCUCUCUCCCAAAACAGCCCCAUAUAAAAAACCCAACUGCUUUUUUUAAUUUUCUUCUCUCUCUCUUAGUGUCAGUGAUCCCUAUGCUCAAAACAGGAAAAGGGCAACCUUCGUACAUAAACAGAGCUGUUAAAAUCCCGCAGGGAACCAACCCAGCCUAACUGUCCUUGUGGAAAUACUGACCUGAUUUAAACCUUUUUUUAAUCCCUAUUCUCAUUCCAUGACCUCUCAUAGUUGCUAUAAAUGCAACCGAAUCCCAUUUCCACGUGUCCAUUUGCUGGUCUGGUGCUUUAUAAGUAGCUGUUGACAAGUGUGAAGGCGUAUAUUUUGGUGGAGAACGAUGUCUGUUGUUGGACUGAAUCCCAUAUUUACUGUUUGGAUAAAUGUAGAGGCACAGGAAGAGCUCAGUCCUCUGCACAGCUGUACACA
ensembl:lncRNA